GAUGAACGCUAGCUACAGGCUUAACACAUGCAAGUCGCAGGGUAACAUGAGGAAAGCUUGCUUUCUUUGAUGACGACUGGCGCACGGGUGAGUAACGCGUAUCCAACCUUCCCAUAACUACGGGAUAACCCGUUGAAAGACGGCCUAAUACCGUAUGAUAUCGUUUGCUGACAUCAAAUAACGAUUAAAGGUUUAGCGGUUAUGGAUGGGGAUGCGUCUGAUUAGCUUGUUGGCGGGGUAACGGCCCACCAAGGCGACGAUCAGUAGGGGUUCUGAGAGGAAGGUCCCCCACAUUGGAACUGAGACACGGUCCAAACUCCUACGGGAGGCAGCAGUGAGGAAUAUUGGUCAAUGGGCGAGAGCCUGAACCAGCCAAGUAGCGUGCAGGAUGACGGCCCUAUGGGUUGUAAACUGCUUUUAUGUGGGGAUAAAGUGCGUGACGUGUCAUGCAUUGCAGGUACCACAUGAAUAAGGACCGGCUAAUUCCGUG
rnacentral:rRNA from 1 species